rnacentral:rRNA from 1 species
UGGGGAAUCUUGCACAAUGGGGGCAACCCUGAUGCAGCGACGCCGCGUGAGCGAUGAAGCCCUUCGGGGCGUAAAGCUCUUUCGACCGGAACGAUAAUGACGGUACCGGGAGAAGAAGCUGCGGCUAACUACGUGCCAGCAGCCGCGGUAAUACGUAGGCAGCAAGCGUUGUUCGGAGUUACUGGGCGUAAAGAGUGCGUAGGCGGUUUUCUAAGUUCGGUGUGAAAUCUCCCGGCUUAACUGGGAGGGUGCGCCGAAGACUGGGAAGCUGGAGUGUGGGAAAGGCAGGCGGAAUUCCAGGUGUGGCGGUGAAAUGCGUAGAUAUCAGGAGGAACACCGGCGGUGUAGACGGCUUGCUAGACCAUAACUGACGCUGAGGCACGAAAGCGUGGGUAGCAAACA